rnacentral:misc_RNA from 1 species
UCGGUUCGGAAUUUUUCAGUU